AUACCCGGGUAGUCCUAGGUGUAAACGCUGUGGACUUGAUGUUGGGGGUGCUCCGAGCACUCUCAGUGUCGAAGCGAAGGUGAUAAGUCCACUGCCUGGGAAGUACGGUCGCAAGGCUGAAACUUAAAGGAAUUGGCGGGGGAGCACCGCAACCUGAGGAUUGUGCGGUUUAAUUGGAUUCAACGCCGGAAAACUCACCAUAGCCGACGGACAAAUGAAGGUCAGUGUAAUGAACUUACCGGAUUGUUCGAGAGGUAGUGCAUGGCCGCCGUCAGUUCGUACCGCAAGGCGUUCUGUUAAGUCAGAUAACGAACGAGACCCUCAUCUCUAUUUGCUAACUAGAUCUCCGGAUUUAGUGCACUAUAGAGAGACCGCUGGCGCUAAGUCAGAGGAAGGGGAGGGCAACGGUAGGUCAGUAUGCUCCGAAUGCUAUGGGCUACACGCGCAAUACAAAGGACGGGACAAUGGGCUGCUGCUCCGAAAGGAACGAUAGCUAUCCCGAAACCCGUUCGUAGUUCGGAUUGAGGGCUGUAACUCGC
rnacentral:rRNA from 1 species